rnacentral:rRNA from 1 species
GACAGAGGAUGCAAGCGUUAUCCGGAAUGAUUGGGCGUAAAGCGUCUGUAGGUGGCUUUUUAAGUCCGCCGUCAAAUCCCAGGGCUCAACCCUGGACAGGCGGUGGAAACUACCAAGCUGGAGUACGGUAGGGGCAGAGGGAAUUUCCGGUGGAGCGGUGAAAUGCGCAGAUAUCAGGAGGAACACCGAUGGCGAAGGCAGGUCUCUGGGCCACUACUGACGCUGAGAAGCGAAAGCAUGGGGAGCGAACAGG